UGUCAAAACAUCUCUGAUGCGUUGAAGCAUGGACUCCACAAGACCUAUAAAUGGGCCCUGUGGUAUCUGACACCAAGACAUAGCAGCAGAACCUUUAAAACCUGUAGUUGUGAGUUGGGGCCUCCAUGGAUCGAGUUCCAGCAUAUCCAGCAAAUGGAUUGAGAUCUGAGGAAUUUGGAGGUCAGGGCCACACCUUAAACUCUU